CCCUUGGGAGACAGCAACGAUUGUAAUUUUAUGGCAAUGGAGCCCAACCGAGUCACACCGCGCCCGGGAGGAGGGCCAAGCCUUUGUGAUUUUAAAUUCCUUUUCCCCGGGAAGGAAGGGACGGUCCCCAUGCAAAAAACCCCCCCCAAAUUUCUGCCCCCACCCCCGGUAAAAUAGAGGGGGCGAGAGUUUUUCCGAAUCUUUGGGGGUAAAGGGCGCGUGUGGGGUUAUCCGUGUUGAAAAGAAAACCCGGGGCUCAAACCCGGAACGGCCCCCGGGAUUGCGGGGCUGGAGACCGGGAGAGGAGAAAUGAAUACCCAGGGUGGAGGGGAAAUUUGCAUUUAUUUGGGGGCAAACCCCUGGGCAGAGGGCCUCUUUGUUCCCGUUUGGAGGGGGGGGCGGGAAAAAUUUGGGAGCAAACAAGGUUAGAGACCCUGGUAUUCCCCCACCUAAAAGUCCAGGCCAGAGUGUCGGGACUGUCCCUCGGUGUCGAAGCUAACGCGAUAAGCGCGCCGCCUGGAGACC
rnacentral:rRNA from 1 species